CUCUAUUCAAGGGUCUGUGGGUGGCCCUAAUUGCUUGAUAGAACCUCCAAACAAGUUGCUAAGAAUCACUUAUAGGAGAAAGUAGUGUUGGC
rnacentral:sRNA from 1 species